GAUGUAAUUUAUAUGACUGUUUCAGGAUCAUAAAGAACGGCUAUGCAGUUGGUCCGUCCUCUCACUUGCACUUCUUGUAGUUGGUUUGUUCCUUGCUUUCAUAGGCGUGCCAUUAAACAAAUCGUUAUACACGAUAAGUUAUUUGCUGGUAACCUCAGCUGCUGCUGGAAUCACAUUCUGUUUGCUAUAUGUGCUGGUGGACAUUUAUGGUUGGAGGCGCUUGAUGUUUAUUCUUGAGUGGAUGGGAAAGCAUUCUCUUAGUAUCUUUAUUCUCAUAACAUCAAAUAUAGCUGUGAUUCUAAUUCAAGGAUUUUAUUGGCGAGAUCCACGUAAUAAC